GGAAGACCUCAAGGACAGCCAGAGACUGACAGGAGCCAGCAGAGAGAAGCUGAAGGCCAGCAGCAGGAGCAGGGAACGGGGACCUGCUGCUGCCAGCCUGGAGAGAGCUCGGAUGUCCCAUCUGCUGUCCCUGUCCAGGAGAGCUGCUCUGCAUGGGAGGAGGAGACCGAGGGAGAGGCUUUGAAGAUGGGGCAGCUGGGAUCCCUCUGCUUGGAGCUCUGUGUAGACAUGUCUAGAAUUGCACAUACAGAUGAAUUAUCAUUUGGAUAUGUACCUAUGGGGCUUGCUAUUUGUAUAGGAAUAUUUCUGUAUGUAUGGUGUUUAGUGAUGUAUGCUGUGUAUAUAUGUAUACAUACAGAUAUGUUUGUAAUUACAUAUAUGUAUGUGUAUAUAUAUACAAGUACACAUGGAUGUUGUUAUAUCUUUGUGUUUAGUUCUGUUUCCUAUGUAUACAGUUGUGUUGCUGUUUAUUUCUGUUAAUGCAGGUAUAGGCAUAUGGGUCUUUAAACUGUUAUAUUGGUAUUUGAUAGGUAUAUAUGUCUAUUUUUAUACUUUUAUGUGUAUGCAUAUGUAUAGCUGUAUAUUUGUAUUGAUGCAUUUGUAUGGAUAUUUAGCUUGGCACAGUGAUAUUUGUCUGUAUUUCUAGAUAGGCUUGUGUUAUCUAUCUGUUUAUAUAUUUUCUUUAUGAUAUGUAAUAUU